UACGUAGGGUGCAAGCGUUGUCCGGAAUUAUUGGGCGUAAAGAGCUCGUAGGCGGUUUGUCGCGUCUGGUGUGAAAAUCCAGGGCUUAACCCUGGACCUGCAUCGGGUACGGGCAGACUAGAGUGCGGUAGGGGAGAUCGGAAUUCCUGGUGUAGCGGUGAAAUGCGCAGAUAUCAGGAGGAACACCGGUGGCGAAGGCGGAUCUCUGGGCCGUAACUGACGCUGAGGAGCGAAAGCAUGGGGAGCGAACAGG
rnacentral:rRNA from 3 species